GCGAGCGCGGUUAGACUGUGCGGAAAGCAGCCGCGAGGCCGCCGCCCGCAGCCCCAGACGCUCCGGCGCCGGGACACAGCACUCUGCACCAUCUCUCGGCUGUACCCCCACCCGGUAAGUCCGCGGCUUCGGGCUAGCCUGGAACGCAGAGGGAAACCGAGUCUGGGGGCAGUGAGGGAAAUGGUUGGGGUUGAGGAGCGGACUGCCGCGUGUGCACCAAGGUGGCCAAGAACCUGGUCCCGCGCUCUUGGCCCUCGACUACGGGCUGAUAUGGAGAUGAUGCUCACUGCUCAUAGGGUGUUUGCUCCGGGUCGGACUGGAGGAGUUCCCCCACCUUGCGGCUACCACAUCCUGACCAUGAAUCAGCCACAGUUGAGAAAAUAAACUUCAACUGGAGGUCCGCCUCCGGGAUAGCACAGGGCGAGCUUGCGGCCCCGCCCUGACAGCUAGCUUCUAAAGAUGCCCGCCGCCGGUGGGCUAAGGCAGACCUGAGAGAGUGACACAGCUCUGUUUCUUGUGGCUACCCCUGUCUACCCUCCUCCUGGGCAAGGACGCUGGGAAUGAAGGUGAUCUUAGCAGAAAGCCCAACUAUGCUUUGGUGGACUCCCUAGAGGACUAUGGGAUGGAGAGCCGUCUAUGGGCCCGUGUGUCCCGUCUUCUAACCGCUCAGUGCCCGGUGGCACACGGUGACAGGUUGGACACACCAGGAGUCAGCGGCAAAAAUGACCCUGCUCCUUCCUGCCUUGGGCUCCAGGUCAGUGCACCCACUCUAAAGCUUGCACGCCCGGGUCGAAGCCAGAGUUGGGAAGUCCCUCCUUACCCGUCCUCUCUGGGCCUCAAUUCCUUCUCUAAACUUGAAGGGUGAGGAGAGUGUCUCAGACUGUAUCCCUUCAGGGUGUCACCCAGGGCAGGGGGCAUUUGGGAAGCAGACACUGUAACCCCUAGA
rnacentral:lncRNA from 1 species